AGAGUUUGAUCAUGGCUCAGAUUGAACGCUGGCGGCAGGCCUAACACAUGCAAGUCGAACGGUAACAGGAAGCAGCUUGCUGCUUUGCUGACGAGUGGCGGACGGGUGAGUAAUGUCUGGGAAACUGCCUGAUGGAGGGGGAUAACUACUGGAAACGGUAGCUAAUACCGCAUAACGUCGCAAGACCAAAGAGGGGGACCUUCGGGCCUCUUGCCAUCAGAUGUGCCCAGAUGGGAUUAGCUUGUUGGUGAGGUAACGGCUCACCAAGGCGACGAUCCCUAGCUGGUCUGAGAGGAUGACCAGCCACACUGGAACUGAGACACGGUCCAGACUCCUACGGGAGGCAGCAGUGGGGAAUAUUGCACAAUGGGCGCAAGCCUGAUGCAGCCAUGCCGCGUGUAUGAAGAAGGCCUUCGGGUUGUAAAGUACUUUCAGCGGGGAGGAAGGUGGUGAGUUUAAUAAGCUUAUCAAUUGACGUUACCCGCAGAAGAAGCACCGGCUAACUCCGUGCCAGCAGCCGCGGUAAUACGGAGGGUGCAAGCGUUAAUCGGAAUUACUGGGCGUAAAGCGCACGCAGGCGGUCUGUCAAGUCGGAUGUGAAAUCCCCGGGCUCAACCUGGGAACUGCAUUCGAAACUGGCAGGCUUGAGUCUUGUAGAGGGGGGUAGAAUUCCAGGUGUAGCGGUGAAAUGCGUAGAGAUCUGGAGGAAUACCGGUGGCGAAGGCGGCCCCCUGGACAAAGACUGACGCUCAGGUGCGAAAGCGUGGGGAGCAAACAGGAUUAGAUACCCUGGUAGUCCACGCCGUAAACGAUGUCUACUUGGAGGUUGUGCCCUUGAGGCGUGGCUUCCGGAGCUAACGCGUUAAGUAGACCGCCUGGGGAGUACGGCCGCAAGGUUAAAACUCAAAUGAAUUGACGGGGGCCCGCACAAGCGGUGGAGCAUGUGGUUUAAUUCGAUGCAACGCGAAGAACCUUACCUGGUCUUGACAUCCACGGAAGAAUCCAGAGAUGGAUUUGUGCCUUCGGGAACCGUGAGACAGGUGCUGCAUGGCUGUCGUCAGCUCGUGUUGUGAAAUGUUGGGUUAAGUCCCGCAACGAGCGCAACCCUUAUCCUUUGUUGCCAGCGGUUAGGCCGGGAACUCAAAGGAGACUGCCAGUGAUAAACUGGAGGAAGGUGGGGAUGACGUCAAGUCAUCAUGGCCCUUACGACCAGGGCUACACACGUGCUACAAUGGCGCAUACAAAGAGAAGCGACCUCGCGAGAGCAAGCGGACCUCAUAAAGUGCGUCGUAGUCCGGAUUGGAGUCUGCAACUCGACUCCAUGAAGUCGGAAUCGCUAGUAAUCGUGGAUCAGAAUGCCACGGUGAAUACGUUCCCGGGCCUUGUACACACCGCCCGUCACACCAUGGGAGUGGGUUGCAAAAGAAGUAGGUAGCUUAACCUUCGGGAGGGCGCUUACCACUUUGUGAUUCAUGACUGGGGUGAAGUCGUAACAAGGUAACCGUAGGGGAACCUGCGGUUGGAUCACCU
rnacentral:rRNA from 1 species